ensembl:snRNA U5 U5 spliceosomal RNA
CGACUCUGGUUUCUCUUCAUUACGCACAAGCCUUUUACUAAAGACUUCCGUGGAGAGGAACACUGACGAGUUAAACAUAUUUUUGGAGGGGCUUUGCUUCUUGCAGAGCC